CAUUAUAACUGGACCAUCUGUCAGAACUAUCUUCCUUGCUUUAAGGAAUUUUGAGAUUGACCUAAUAUACUGUGUUAGCUACAAAUCAAAAUCUGUUUUAAAUUGAAUGUUUUAUUAAAUCACCCAGUUGUUUGUUUUGAUCUCUGCUCACUGACUUUAUAACAUGUUUGUACAGAUACUGUUAUUAUUAUGAAACUGCCAUAGUAUAAUGGAUCUAGAUAGCUGUGGACCCCCCCCCCCCCCCCA